AGAGAAUGCGCAUCGACCUUGUUGAUGAGAGAAAGCAAUUGAGGCAGCUGUCCAUUAUCUCCUUUGCUUCACGACGAUAGGUGCCGCAGGUGUGGGUUUGGUCUAUGAACACAAAUAUUCUUUGGACCGGCAGAAGCAAACUCGCUUGGAAAUAGAGCAAAUUUUGCAAAAACACAUGCAAGGAAUCUCGCAAAGGAUGGAAAAAUCCGAACAAAAAAUCAAUCAAAUCAGGCAUAAAUAUCAAGAAAUCAAUCAAAUCAGGCGUGGAUUUCCAAUUACCAACCACGUGACAGACGCAAUGCGUGCGGAUAUGGAGCUCUGGUCAAGGCAGUCAACUAUGAAAAAUAUGACUGACGGCAGUUGAUGAUCGAAGAUGUAAACCCGUUGCUGAGUUAGGUAGUGAAGGAGAGAAGAUGACUUAGCAUUGUAAUCUGUUGCGUGUUAAUUAAUGAUACUAUUUCCUCGCUCGUAUUCACUGAAUUAUUAGUGUUCUCUGUGUUUUAUCCACCCACUUCUCCUAGGAACGCUGUCAAUUCUACUCUAAACAACUCUCCUUACUCUUUAUUUGCGGUUCUGUUCUUGAAAAAUCCUUCUGUUGCUUUUGA